AGAGUUUGAUCAUGGCUCAGGAUGAACGCUGGCGGCGUGCUUAACACAUGCAAGUCGAACGGAGUUAAGAUGAAACCUGGUGAUUCUUAACUUAGUGGCGGACGGGUGAGUAACGCGUGGGUAACCUGCCGUAUACAGGGGGAUAACACUUAGAAAUAGGUGCUAAAACCGCAUAAGCGCACAGCUUCGCAUGAAGCAGUGUGAAAAACUCCGGUGGUAUACGAUGGACCCGCGUCUGAUUAGCCAGUUGGCAGGGUAACGGCCUACCAAAGCGACGAUCAGUAGCCGGCCUGAGAGGGUGAACGGCCACAUUGGGACUGAGACACGGCCCAAACUCCUACGGGAGGCAGCAGUGGGGAAUAUUGCACAAUGGGAGAAACCCUGAUGCAGCGACGCCGCGUGAGUGAAGAAGUAUUUCGGUAUGUAAAGCUCUAUCAGCAGGGAAGAAAAUGACGGUACCUGAGAAAGAAGCCCCGGCUAACUACGUGCCAGCAGCCGCGGUAAUACGUAGGGGGCAAGCGUUAUCCGGAUUUACUGGGUGUAAAGGGAGCGUAGACGGUUGUGCAAGUCUGGAGUGAAAUGCGGGGGCUCAACCCCUGAACUGCUUUGGAAACUGUGUAACUGGAGUGCAGGAGAGGUAAGUGGAAUUCCUAGUGUAGCGGUGAAAUGCGUAGAUAUUAGGAGGAACACCAGUGGCGAAGGCGGCUUACUGGACUGUAACUGACGUUGAGGCUCGAAAGCGUGGGGAGCAAACAGGAUUAGAUACCCUGGUAGUCCACGCCGUAAACGAUGAUUACUAG
rnacentral:rRNA from 1 species